rnacentral:rRNA from 1 species
UACGUAGGGGGCGAGCGUUGUCCGGAAUCAUUGGGCGUAAAGAGCGUGUAGGCGGCCAUCUAAGUCAGACGUGAAAUCCCUCGGCUCAACCGAGGAACUGCGUCUGAUACUGGAAGGCUUGAAUCCGGGAGAGGGAUGUGGAAUUCCAGGUGUAGCGGUGAAAUGCGUAGAUAUCUGGAGGAACACCGGUGGCGAAGGCGGCAUCCUGGACCGGUAUUGACGCUGAGGAGCGAAAGCUAGGGGAGCAAACGGG